AGAGUUUGAUCCUGGCUCAGGAUGAACGCUAGCUACAGGCUUAACACAUGCAAGUCGAGGGGCAGCAUGGUCUUAGCUUGCUAAGGCCGAUGGCGACCGGCGCACGGGUGAGUAACACGUAUCCAACCUGCCGUCUACUCUUGGACAGCCUUCUGAAAGGAAGAUUAAUACAAGAUGGCAUCAUGAGUUCACAUGUUCACAUGAUUAAAGGUAUUCCGGUAGACGAUGGGGAUGCGUUCCAUUAGAUAGUAGGCGGGGUAACGGCCCACCUAGUCUUCGAUGGAUAGGGGUUCUGAGGGGAAGGUCCCCCACAUUGGAACUGAGACACGGUCCAAACUCCUACGGGAGGCAGCAGUGAGGAAUAUUGGUCAAUGGGCGCAGGCCUGAACCAGCCAAGUAGCGUGAAGGAUGACUGCCCUAUGGGUUGUAAACUUCUUUUAUAAAGGAAUAAAGUCGGGUAUGGAUACCCGUUUGCAUGUACUUUAUGAAUAAGGAUCGGCUAACUCCGUGCCAGCAGCCGCGGU
rnacentral:rRNA from 1 species